rnacentral:lncRNA from 1 species
GAUUCCACUCCUCUCUCUAUUUCUGUAUACAUAGCCUCUGUAAAUAUGCACUUAUCAAUAAAAAUCGGGUGGCAUUUUGCCUCCCUUUUCAUCAGGAAAAAAAAAAGUUUGCAACAACAGUCACCCAGGAAAUUAUGAGGGUCAAGCUGAAAACAGUGAUUUUCAGGGAUCUUUUUGUAAAUGAUAGCUUUCACUGGUC